GACAGAGGGGGCAAGCGUUGCUCGGAAUCACUGGGCGUAAAGGGCGCGUAGGCGGGAUGGCAAGUCAGUCGUGAAAUCUCUCGGCUCAACCGAGAAACGUCGGCUGAUACUGCCGUUCUUGAGGGAUGCAGAGGAGACUGGAAUUCCCGGUGUAGCGGUGAAAUGCGCAGAUAUCGGGAGGAACACCAGUAGCGAAGGCGGCACUCUGGGCCGGUACUGACGCUGAGGAGCGAAAGCGUGGGGAGCGAACAGG
rnacentral:rRNA from 1 species